rnacentral:rRNA from 1 species
AGCAGCCGCGGUAAUUCCAGCUCCAAUAGCGUAUAUUAAAGUUGUUGCAGUUAAAAAGCUCGUAGUUGAACUUCGGGGUUUACCCAUUGGUCAGGCUUAAUUGUCUGUACUGGUGAGAUGAAUCUCUACCUUCUGAGGAACUUUUAUGCCAUUUAGUUGGUGUGAUAGGAAAUCAGGACUGUUACUUUGAAAAAAUUAGAGUGUUUAAAGCAAGCUAACGUCUGAAUACAUUAGCAUGGAAUAAUGAAAUAGGACGGAUUGGUUCUAUUUCGUUGGUUUCUAGGAUCACCGUAAUGAUUAAUAGGGAUAGUUGGGGGCAUUAGUAUUCAAUUGCCAGAGGUGAAAUUCUUGGAUUUAUUGAAGACUAACUAUUGCGAAAGCAUUUGCCAAGGAUGUUUUCAUUAAUCAAGAACGAAAGUUAGGGGAUCGAAGACGAUCAGAUACCGUCGU